GCCAUCAUUGUUCAGUGGCAGAGCACUGGUCUUAUAAACUAGGAUUCGUGAGUUCGAUCUUCUCUGGUGGCU